rnacentral:rRNA from 1 species
GACGUAGGGCGCGAGCGUUGUCCGGAUUUAUUGGGCGUAAAGAGCUCGUAGGUGGUUUGUCGCGUUGUCCGUGAAAACUCACAGCUCAACUGUGGGCGUGCGGGCGAUACGGGCAGACUGGAGUACUGCAGGGGAGACUGGAAUUCCUGGUGUAGCGGUGGAAUGCGCAGAGUAUCAGGAGGAACACCGGUGGCGAAGGCGGGUCUCUGGGCAGUAACUGACGCUGGAGGAGCGGAAAGCGUGGGGAGCGAACAGG